ACGGGUGAAUAACACGUGGGUGAUCUGCCUCGCACUCUGGGAUAAGCCUGGGAAACUGGGUCUAAUACCGGAUAUGAGCAGCCUCUGCAUGGGGGCUGUUGGAAAGGUUUACUGGUGCGAGAUGGGCCCGCGGCCUAUCAGCUUGUUGGUGGGGUAACGGCCCACCAAGGCGACGACGGGUAGCCGACCUGAGAGGGUGACCGGCCACACUGGGACUGAGACACGGCCCAAACUCCUACGGGAGGCAGCAGUGGGGAAUAUUGCACAAUGGGCGAAAGCCUGAUGCAGCGACGCCGCGUGAGGGAUGACGGCCUUCGGGUUGUAAACCUCUUUUGACAGGGACGAACCUCAAGUGACGGUACCUGUAGAAUAAGCACCGGCCAACUACGUGCCAGCAGCCGCGGUAAUACGUAGGGUGCGAGCGUUGUCCGGAAUUACUGGGCGUAAAGAGCUUGUAGGCGGUCUGUCACGUCUAUUGUGAAAACUUGCAGCUCAACUGCAAGCUUGCAGUCGAUACGGGCAGACUAUAGUACUUCAGGGGAGACUGGAAUUCCUGGUGUAGCGGUGAAAUGCGCACA
rnacentral:rRNA from 1 species